AGAAAAAGAGCGGGGGAUCAGGGGGAGGGGAAGCCGGGAAGGGAGGAAUUGAGCGAAGCGCCCAACUGCCGAGGGGAAGCGAUCAUGGGAACUGUUCUUGACUCGCACUUCCUUGCCCUCACUGCCAUCGUCACUAUUGGAUACCAGUUCCUCUUCUUCGUCGUCACCGCCUUGCUGAGGUUCGACAAGGUCACCGACUUCGCUGGCAGCACAAAUUUUGUCAUCCUCGCCGUAUUAACGCUUUGCGUUAGAGGAGUAUGGCAUUUUAGACAGGUGGUUUUGAGCUUGCUUGUGGUUGUAUGGGGUCUUCGGCUGGGACUCUUUCUGUUAAUGAGGAUUCUUAACUGGGGUGAAGACCGGCGGUUUGAUGACAUGCGGGAUAAUUUAGGAAAAUUAGCUGUAUUCUGGAUAUUCCAGGCAGUCUGGGUAUGGACUGUAAGUUUGCCUGUAACAAUUGUUAAUGCUAGUGACAUGAACCCUGGGGUCAAAGUCCAGGAUAUUAUCGGGUGGAUCAUGUGGGUCGUGGGGUUUUCUGUUGAAGCAACAGCAGAUCAACAGAAGUUGCAAUUUAAAAAUUCUCCUGGAAACAGAGGAAACUGGUGCAAUGUAGGGCUCUGGAAAUUUUCGAGGCAUCCAAAUUAUUUUGGUGAGAUUUUGCUUUGGUGGGGCAUUUUCGUGGCAUCUACACCCGUGCUAGAAGGUGCCGAGUGGCUGGUAGUUGUUGGACCAGCGUUCCUCACAUUGUUGCUUCUUUUCAUUAGUGGCAUCCCACUGCUUGAGGAUUCAUCAGACAAGCGUUUUGGCACCAGGGCAGAGUACCUCUUAUACAAAAAAGUAACAAGCCCUCUUAUUCCUUUACCGCCAACUGUAUAUGGAGAAUUACCGGCAUGGUUGAAAACGUAUUUUCUUUUUGAAUUUCCUAUGUACAAUCGCAGUCUACCUCAAAGUGAAAGAUCAAACUGUGCCACCUGAAUUUGAUCGAAGACGUAAGAACGAAUCUCGACGCGCAAAUAAAAGCCAAGACUAUCGGCAGGGAGGACCGGAAAGGCAGAUUGAUGCAGUUCGGUGCCAAGAAUGUUGUAAUUCUAAUAUUUAGGAAAACAGUGUCAUGUGAAUAAGCUACUUUUUCUGGAAAGUUAAAUAAGUUCCUUUGUUUGUAGGACA